rnacentral:rRNA from 1 species
AAGCACGUAGGUGGGUUUGUAAGUCAGCUGUGAAAGCCUUCUGCUUAACGGAAGAACAGCAGUUGAAACUAUAGUGCUUGAGUGCGGGAGGGGAGAGCGGAACUUCUGGUGGAGCGGUGAAAUGCGUAGAUAUCAGAAGGAACGCCGGCGGCGAAAGCGGCUCUCUGGCCCGUAACUGACGCUGAGUGUGCGAAAGCUAGGGGAGCAAACGGGAUUAGAUACCCCGGUAGUCCUAGCCGUAAACGAUGGGCACUAAGUAGAGGGGUUUU